rnacentral:rRNA from 1 species
AGGGAUCAUUACAGAGUUUUUAACUCCUAAAACCAUGUGAACUUACCACUGUUUCCUCGGUGGAAGGUACCCGAAAGGGUGCUGGAAGCCGGUGGACAUUUAAACUCUUGUUAAUUUUGUUAAUUCUGAAUCAAACUAAGAAAUAAGUUAAAACUUUCAACAACGGAUCUCUUGGUUCUGGCAUCGAUGAAGAACGCAGCGAAAUGCGAUAAGUAAUGUGAAUUGCAGAAUUCAGUGAAUCAUCGAAUCUUUGAACGCACAUUGCGCCCAUUAGUAUUCUAGUGGGCAUGCCUGUUCGAGCGUCAUUUCAACCCUUAAGCCUAGCUUAGUGUUGGGAGACUGCCUAAUACGCAGCUCCUCAAAACCAGUGGCAGAGUUUUUACGUACUCUGAGCGCAGUAAUUCUAUUCUCGCUUUUGAACACGUCUAGACGAUAGCCAAAAACCGCUUGCUUCGGCAGCACUUUUUUAAUGGUUGACCUCGGAUCAGGUAGGAAUACCCGCUGAACUUAAGCAUAUCAAUAAGCGGAGGAAAAGAAACCAACAGGGAUUGCCCCAGUAACGGCGAGUGAAGCGGCAACAGUUCAAAUUUGAAAUCUGGCCUUCUGGUCCGAAUUGUAAUUUGUAGAGGAUGACUUUGGUUAGGUACCUUUCGAGUUCCUUGGAACAGGACGCCUUAGAGGGUGAGAGCCCCGUACGAUUGGAUGCCGAGCCUUUGUAAGUCUCCUUCGACGAGUCGAGUAGUUUGGGAAUGCUGCUCUAAAUGGGAGGUAAAUUUCUUCUAAAGCUGAAUACCGGGCCAGAGACCGAUAGCGCACAAGUAGAGUGAUCGAAAGAUGAAAAGCACUUUGAAAAGAGGGUUAAAUAGUACGUGAAAUUGUUGAAAGGGAAGGGUUUAUGACCAGACCUUUGCGUUGGGAAUCAUCCGGUGUUCUCACCGGUGCACUUCCCUUCGUUGAGGCCAGCAUCAGUUUUGGUUGGGGGAUAAAGACAUUAGGAAUGUGAUUCCUCCGGGAAUGUUAUAGCCUUUUGUGUAAUACCCUGACCGGGACUGAGGACCGCGCUUCGGCUAGGAUGCUGGCAUAAUGGUCAUCAGCCACC